rnacentral:rRNA from 1 species
AGCGAACGCUGGCGGCAGGCCUAACACAUGCAAGUUGAACGAAGUCUUCGGACUUAGUGGCGGACGGGUGAGUAACACGUGGGAACGUACCUUUUGGUUCGGAACAACUCAGGGAAACUUGAGCUAAUACCGGAUGAGCCCUUAGGGGGAAAGAUUUAUCGCCGAAAGAGCGGCCCGCGUUAGAUUAGCUAGUUGGUGAGGUAAAGGCUCACCAAGGCUACGAUCUAUAGCUGGUCUGAGAGGAUGAUCAGCCACACUGGGACUGAGACACGGCCCAGACUCCUACGGGAGGCAGCAGUGGGGAAUCUUGCGCAAUGGGCGAAAGCCUGACGCAGCCAUGCCGCGUGAAUGAUGAAGGUCUUAGGAUUGUAAAAUUCUUUUACCAGGGACGAUAUGACGGUACCUGGAGAAAAAGCCCCGGCUAACUUCGUGCCAGCAGCCGCCGUAAAAC